rnacentral:lncRNA from 1 species
CCCAUGUGCCUUCUGGUUACUGCCCGGGCUGUGCAUUUCAGCAGUGGGCCGGUCGCCACACAGGAGAGGGCCCUGCUGCCAGGCUGGCAGUGUGGGGUGUUCGGCCCUCCCUGGCGUGCAGCAGGGACAUGCGGUAGGGGGCUGCAGGGCAGGGGAGUGCUCUGUCCCUCUUCUGCCAGCUCCCAGCAGACUAAUCAAGCUCUUUUGCAGAACAGUAACUUCUCUUUUAAUACCCUGCAAAAUUUCUUCCAUUUCCUUUUGAGAACUGUAGACUAAUCAGAGUCCUCUGGCAUUUAUGAUCAUUUUACAGAAAACGGGGCUGACAACAAGUAAGCUUUCCGUGGUUUUCCAGCAAGGCCCUGAACGAACCUGGCUUUGCGGAGUGGCUUUCUCCACAUUCUGCUAGCCGAAGGGAGAAACAAGGAGUUUAGGGUGCAGUUAGAAUCCAAGCCCCAUGCUUGUUAUCUUGAUCAACUCUGACACCAGAGGUCUUUGGUUAUCUUGGAAAGAGAUUGCGGACCUAAUAUAUGAGCAUGUCCAUUUGUGUUGGUGUUCGAAUGCAGAAAAGGGACAAGAGGAAAGAUGAGGAGAAAAAGAAGAAAGCUUGGAUAAAGCAGGAGAGAGAGAAAACCCUGGAGAGGCUGAAAACGUUCAAAGAAAAAUGUCCGGCUCAGUUUGUGGUGAAAACGCCCCGUUCCCAGCCCUUGAACUCCAGACAGCCCCAGGGAGGGGCUCAGCGAUCCCCAGCAGCCCCGGCCUCCUGCCAGCCUUCCCCAGCAGCCCCGCAGCCUCGGUCGAUCGGCAGGGGGGCCGCCGCAAAGCAGCUGAGGGCCUCCCGCCCGUCACCAGCCAAGGACUCCAAGGCCCCUCGGCAGAAGCGCUCGAAGGAUAUACCCAUCCAGAUAUUUGCACCGCCAGGUGGUCCAGAAGAGCACAAGAUGUGUGAGGGGGUGCCGCCUCCCCCACCGCCGCCGCCGCCUCCCCCACCGCCGCCCCCUCCACCGCCGCCG